rnacentral:rRNA from 1 species
AUGUACAAACACGCCAUGGUUGUCUCACCAAAACAGCGUCUCGAUUGCCUUGAAUCAGCCAUGGGCUUUUCCUGUUUCCACAAGUUACCUCUUGAGGCAGAAGUAGCACUCCUGAAAUUAGUCCUAGGGAGUUUUUCGCCAGUAAUUUUGGAGGCUAUAAGAGAACUCUGCAGGCCCUCGAGCAACUGCAUUACAGAAAACAGCAAGGCUAAGUUAGCAGAUGUAUCAAACUCCGUAAAACAAGUGUAUGUAGAGGUUCGGCAGCAAGUUCAGACAUGUAACAAGCACACAAUGGGGAAAAACAGUCACAUCGCUCAGAUUUAUUCUAAAGGGAGCAACACUAGUAUAGAAACUCAUAACAGUAAUGAGACUUCUGACAAAAGUCUAGAAUGA